rnacentral:other from 1 species
CGGGAGCUGCUCUGUGCGUCAGGUCGCUAAUUCCCGAGGCCGAUGCUCAUUUCUCUAGGGAACUGUCCCUGUCAGGAUCGUGGUUCUGAUACACGGUGCCCACCUGCACACGCAGGUCACGAGGGAUUACCAAUGUCCAACGGCAGUAGUGGCUCCCAC